ACAUAUGCAGCUAGAGUUAAGAGCUCCGGGGUACUGGUUAGUUCAUAAUGUUGUUCCACCUAUAGAGUGGGGCGCUUUUUAAAUGGAUUCUCACUUCCAUAUCUGCACUUCUGGGAUGGUGUCACGGGUGUGUGGUACAGAGAAAAGACCAGACCACAGAACCCAGCGCAACCCUGGGCUUUGUAAUUCCCCCAACCUCGGUUACUUCUGCUUUCAGAGGCAAAGGGAGGGAAAAACAUUGUACCAGGUUUUCUGGGCCUUCCCCGCUGUGUUCUUAGGUCCCCCAGCUCUGUAGAUUCACCUGGCCGGGUGUGGUAAGGAGGCAGGGUGUGGUGCAAGAGCCUCCCAGGUCUCAUCAUCUUACCUGGGGUCAUUACUAGAGCCUGCUCCAAAUUUUGUGUUGGCCACAGCAGCCAUUGGGCUUCACAUACAGCACUGUGGACACUUGGAGUGCUGGAGGGGCUUCCUGUGCUGGGCCUUAAGUAGCACCCCUGGUCUCCACACAGCAGCAGCAGCAGCAGCAGCAGCAGCAGCAGCAGCAGCAGCAUGUCCCUUAUGUACUUCCAGGGAUGCUCCAUGUUCCCUUGGUGGUGGAGGUGCUGGUGGUCCCCUCUGCUGGGAGAAGGCCUCCAGUGA
rnacentral:lncRNA from 1 species